rnacentral:rRNA from 1 species
AGCAGCCGCGGUAAUUCCAGCUCCAAUAGCGUAUAUUAAAGUUGUUGCAGUUAAAAAGCUCGUAGUUGAAUUUCGGGGUCAGUAGGUUGGUCGUGCCACUGGUAUGCACUGGCCUCACUGAUUCCCUCCUUCUUGUAGAACCGUAAUGCCAUUAGUUUGGUGUUGCGGGGAAACAGGACUGUUACUUUGAAAAAAUUAGAGUAGUUUAAAGCAGGCUAACGCCUGAAUACAUUAGCAUGGAAUAAUGAAAUAGGACGUUCGAUCCUAUUUUGUUGGUUUCUAGGUAUUGACGUAAUGAUUAAUAGGGAUAGUUGGGGGCAUUAGUAUUCAAUUGUCAGAGGUGAAAUUCUUGGAUUUAUUGAAGACUAACUACUGCGAAAGCAUUUGCCAAGGAUGUUUUCAUUAAUCAAGA